rnacentral:rRNA from 1 species
UACGAGGGGGGCGAGCGUUGUUCGGAAUUAUUGGGCGUAAAGGGUGCGUAGGCGGUUCCGCAAGUCCUGUGUGAAAGCCCCGAGCUCAACUUGGGAAUUGCAGUGGAUACUGGCAGGCUGGAGUACGGUAGAGGAAGGUGGAAUUCCCGGUGUAGCAGUGAAAUGUGUAGAUAUCGGGAGGAACACCAGUGGCGAAGGCGGCCUUCUGGACCAGUACUGACGCUCAUGCACGAAAGCGUGGGGAGCAAACAGG